rnacentral:rRNA from 1 species
AGUGAACGCUGGCGGCGUGCUUAACACAUGCAAGUCGAACGAGAACGGGCUAGAGCUUGCUAUAGUUGUCAGCUAAGUGGCGCACGGGUGAGUAAUGUAUAGGUAAUAUGCCUCUUACUAAGGGAUAACAAAUGGAAACGUUUGCUAAUACCUUAUACUCCUUAUUAACAGAAGUUAAUAAGGGAAAGAUUUAUUGGUAAGAGAUUAGCUUGUAUUGUAUCAGUUAGUUGGUGGGGUAAUGGCUUACCAAGACUAUGACACAUAACUGGUUUGAGGGGAUGAUCAGUCACACUGGAACAGAGACACGGACCAGACUCCGACGGGAGGCAGCAGUGGGGAAUAUUGAACAAUGGACGAAAGUCUGAUGCAGCAACGCCGCGUGGAGGAUGACACAUUUCGGUGCGUAAACUCCUUUUAUAUGAGAAGAUAAUGACGGUAUUAUAUGAAUAAGCACCGGCUAACUCCGUGCCAGCCGCCGCCGUAA